UACGGAGGGUGCGAGCGUUAAUCGGAAUUACUGGGCGUAAGGGCGCGUAGGCGGCCUACUAAGUCGGACGUGAAAUCCCUCGGCUCAACCGAGGAACUGCGUCCGAUACUGGCAGGCUGGAAUCCGGGAGAGGGAUGUGGAAUUCCAGGUGUAGCGGUGAAAUGCGUAGAUAUCUGGAGGAACACCGGUGGCGAAGGCGGCAUCCUGGACCAAUACUGACGCUGAGGAGCGAAAGCCAGGGGAGCAAACGGG
rnacentral:rRNA from 1 species